UGAAGAUUGUUAACAAAAUUUGUUGUAUCGUAGCGGGCUCGGCGUUCGAUUUGCAGUGUUGUGUAACACACUAUUACUUCUACAGAAUAAUUGUUUAUAUUUGACGAUACAUUGGAAGCGCACUGGUAAUGCCAGCGUUGAAGGCUUGGAGCAGCCUGAGUACGCGACAAUGCAUGCCGAUUUAUUGGGGGGCUAAAAGCUCCCAGAAAAAGCACAUAAUUGUGCCGGCAACUACUGUUAGAAGCUUUCGCUCUCUCUCUCUCUCUGAAGGGAGCCCAUUGAUGAUACAAAACACAAGGUGGCGCAAACUUUUCGAAUUAAGGGAAUUGUUGGAAUGGGUUCCAUUUCGCGCUUUAACAAAUUAAAAAGCAAUCAACUUAAUUCGCUGACGACAAACGUGCCUUUGUCCAGAAUGCGGGCUGGGCUGCGUUUUGCCUGGGAUCCGCGCGUAACAGCCUUCUGCUGGUGUCACACGGGCCACUUGACGGUGCAG